ACGGAAGGCAGCAGUGGGGAAUAUUGCACAAUGGGGGAAACCCUGAUGCAGCGACGCCGCGUGAAGGAUGAAGUAUCUCGGUAUGUAAACUUCUAUCAGCAGGGAAGAUAAUGACGGUACCUGACUAAGAAGCCCCGGCUAACUACGUGCCAGCAGCCGCGGUAAUACGUAGGGGGCAAGCGUUAUCCGGAUUUACUGGGUGUAAAGGGAGCGUAGACGGCAAUGCAAGUCUGAAGUGAAAGCCCGUGGCUUAACUGCGGGACUGCUUUGGAAACUGCAUGGCUAGAGUGUCGGAGAGGUGAGUGGAAUUCCCAGUGUAGCGGUGAAAUGCGUAGAUAUUGGGAGGAACACCGGAGGCGAAGGCGGCUCACUGGACGAUCACUGACGUUGAGGCUCGAAAGCGUGGGGAGCAAACAGGAUUAGAUACCCUGGUA
rnacentral:rRNA from 1 species